GACGAAGGGGGCUAGCGUUGUUCGGAAUUACUGGGCGUAAAGCGCGUGUAGGCGGUCGUUCAAGUCGAGUGUGAAAGCCCCCCGGCUCAACUGGGGAGGGUCAUUCGAUACUGAUCGACUUGAAGGCAGGAGAGGGAAGUGGAAUUCCCGGUGUAGUGGUGAAAUGCGUAGAUAUCGGGAGGAACACCAGUGGCGAAGGCGACUUCCUGGACCAGUACCGACGUUCAGGCACGAAAGCGUGGGGAGCAAACAGG
rnacentral:rRNA from 1 species